AUUAAUGCACAACAUUUAUAUUCGAAUCAGGUCAGAGUUGGAAGACAGCAGCCUUAAGAAUCCCUAAAUGUGUGUGCUUUUUUUUG
rnacentral:SRP_RNA from 1 species